AGGAGCAUGUGGUUAAUUCGAUGAUACGCGAGGAACCUACCUGGGCUCGAACGUAAGAUGACUGUAGGUGAAAGCUUACAUCUCUUCGGAGCAUUUUACGAGGUGCUGCAUGGUUGUCGUCAGCUCGUGCCGUGAGGUGUCGGGUUAAGUCCCAUAACGAGCGCAACCCUACCUUUAGUUGCCAUCAGGUAAUGCUGGGGACUCUAAAGGAACUGCCUACGCAAGUAGUGAGGAAGGCGGGGAUGACGUCAAAUCGGCACGGCCCUUACGUCCAGGGCUACACACGUGCUACAAUGGCCGAUACAGAGGGCAGCUACCUGGUGACAGGAUGCAAAUCUCCAAAGUCGGUCUCAGUUCGGAUCGGAGUCUGCAACCCGACUCCGUGAAGUUGGAUUCGCUAGUAAUCGCGCAUCAGCCAUGGCGCGGUGAAUACGUUCCCGGGCCUU
rnacentral:rRNA from 1 species